rnacentral:lncRNA from 1 species
CUGUGGGUUCUCCUACGAGUUGCUCUCUGAGCUGUUGGUUCUCCUGGAGAAGCUUUGGUCCUCACAUUGAGCAUUGCUUCCUGGCUCCGGAGGGGAAGACAUAUGCUGCUUGGUCUCCAGGAUGAACUCCUCAUGCUGUUUCCUGGCAUGUACCCUACUGUGCUCGGGGCCUCCGUGUUGCUGAGGAUGGCUGUGGUGCCUUCAGGACAGCCCUGCUCUUUGUUGUCAUUUCAGUUUUGAGGAAAUGGUGAUCAGGAACAUAAAGCAGGAUGUUGGAGCAUGUAGGGAAAGGUCUUGACAGAGAGUGGACAGUUCUUAUUCUCCUGUCCCAAUGUAAGUACCGUGCCCUUUACAUUUAUGGGAGAGACUUAUCUAUGGUACAAAUGGAUUGAGGAUUUUCAAGUUUGCCAGCCUAAAGCUAUCUUGGCUUACAUACUUGUGACUGUGGACAAGAGACUUCC